rnacentral:rRNA from 1 species
GACGAACGCUGGCGGCGUGCCUAAUACAUGCAAGUAGAACGCUGAAGGAGGAGCUUGCUUCUCUGGAUGAGUUGCGAACGGGUGAGUAACGCGUAGGUAACCUACCUGGUAGCGGGGGAUAACUAUUGGAAACGAUAGCUAAUACCGCAUAAGAGUAGAUGUCGCAUGACAUUUGCUUAAAAGGUGCAAUUGCAUCACUACCAGAUGGACCUGCGUUGUAUUAGCUAGUUGGUGAGGUAACGGCUCACCAAGGCAACGAUACAUAGCCGACCUGAGAGGGUGAUCGGCCACACUGGGACUGAGACACGGCCCAGACUCCUACGGGAGGCAGCAGUAGGGAAUCGUCGGCAAUGGACGGAAGUCUGACCAAGCAACGCCGCGUGAGUGAAGAAGGUUUUCGGAUCGGAAAGCUCUGUUGUAAGAGAAGAACGAGUGUGAGAGUGGAAAGUUCACACUGUGACGGUAUCUGACCAGAAAGGGACGGCUAACUACGUG